rnacentral:rRNA from 1 species
GACGGAGGGUGCUAGCGUUGCUCGGAAUCACUGGGCGUAAAGGGUGCGUAGGCGGGUCUUUAAGUCAGGGGUGAAAUCCUGGAGCUCAACUCCAGAACUGCCUUUGAUACUGAAGAUCUUGAGUUCGGGAGAGGUGAGUGGAACUGCGAGUGUAGAGGUGAAAUUCGUAGAUAUUCGCAAGAACACCAGUGGCGAAGGCGGCUCACUGGCCCGAUACUGACGCUAAGGCGCGAAAGCGUGGGGAGCAAACAGG